rnacentral:lncRNA from 1 species
AUUUCAGGAAAAGCAAAUGUUCACAAAUGGCUCAGAAUGUCACUCAUGAUUUCUGUAUAAUAUUAUUUCUUGUGUCUUUUAAUGUUGUUGUUUGUUGGUAGGGGAACAUCGGUGAUGAAGUCUAUUUUAUCAGAGUGUAUAUAACUCAACCAUACUUCGGCCUCAGCCUCCCCGUUACAGAUUACUCCAGAAGCUGUCCACAUUUCCUGUACAAGAAGCUAAAAAGACAUGCUUUGCUCUGAAGUAUAUGCCUGGUUGAGGAGGAGCAGAGUUACUAUCAAAAACAUUAUGAAAAGGAAAACACGAUCAGAUGUGAAGCCCCCAAGCAUUAAAAAAAAACCAAAAACAUAAGACACCACUUAUGCAUCUCAAAUGAAUUUAAGUUUACAGCCAUAGAUAACUUACAUCCCAAGGUGUGCAAUGGACUUACAGAUGUAAUCAUGAAUGAUUGGCAGUAACUGCAGAAUCGCAGAGGAGUGCAGUUUUGUCAGGCGGCGUGAUCCGAGUGAAUAAUCCCCAGUUCUCUCAAAGGGUAAAAUGGAUGUCCAAACGCACACCAUCAGCUCUUACAUAUCAUCCUACAAUGUGCUCCAAGUCUCUGUUACUGGCCUUUUCCUGCCAAGCUCACCAGCCCAUCUUCAUGUUUCUAAGAAGUUUCAGCUUGGGACUUUCCUUCAGUCAAAGGAGUUCAGCUCAGUGCUUAGCUGUGGAUCUCUGUUUCUACUUCCAUCAGCUACUGGACGAAGGUUCUGUGAUGUCAUUUAAGCAUGCUGGAAGAUGAGUGCUGAAGAAUGCCCAUUACUGUAGUUCCCUUUGGUUCUGCAAUUGAUUUAUACCAACUAUAAGCAGCCCCACCCCUUCCAGUCUAUGUCGCAUCUAAAAUAUCCGUCCUUCUUCCUCCCCCCUAUAACCAAAUGUCC